rnacentral:rRNA from 1 species
UACGUAGGGUGCGAGCGUUAAUCGGAUUUACUCGGCGUAAAGCGUGCGCAGGCGGCCCGUUAAGACAGGUGUGAAAUCCCUGGGCUCAACCUAGGAAUUGCGCUUGUGACUGGCGGGCUCGAGUACGGUAGAGGGGGGUGGAAUUCCUGGUGUAGCAGUGAAAUGCGUAGAGAUCAGGAGGAACACCGAUGGCGAAGGCAGCCCCCUGGGCCUGUACUGACGCUCAUGCACGAAAGCGUGGGGAGCAAACAGG